GCCGGCAUAGCUCAGUUGGUAGAGCGCCACUUUUGUAAAGUGGAUGUCCGGGGUUCGAACCCUCGUGCCGGCUCAA
rnacentral:tRNA from 6 species